GAACGCUAGCUGCAGGCUUAACACAUGCAAGUCGAGGGGCAGCAUGGUCUUAGCUUGCUAAGGCCGAUGGCGACCGGCGCACGGGUGAGUAACACGUAUCCAACCUGCCGUCUACUCUUGGACAGCCUUCUGAAAGGAAGAUUAAUACAAGAUGGCAUCAUGAGUCCACAUGUUCACAUGAUUAAAGGUAUUCCGGUAGACGAUGGGGAUGCGUUCCAUUAGAUAGUAGGCGGGGUAACGGCCCACCUAGUCUUCGAUGGAUAGGGGUUCUGAGAGGAAGGUCCCCCACAUUGGAACUGAGACACGGUCCAAACUCCUACGGGAGGCAGCAGUGAGGAAUAUUGGUCAAUGGGCGAGAGCCUGAACCAGCCAAGUAGCGUGAAGGAUGACUGCCCUAUGGGUUGUAAACUUCUUUUAUAAAGGAAUAAAGUCGGGUAUGGAUACCCGUUUGCAUGUACUUUAUGAAUAAGGAUCGGCUAACUCCGUGCCAGCAGCCGCGGUAAUACGGAGGAUCCGAGCGUUAUCCGGAUUUAUUGGGUUUAAAGGGAGCGUAGAUGGAUGUUUAAGUCAGUUGUGAAAGUUUGCGGCUCAACCGUAAAAUUGCAGUUGAUACUGGAUAUCUUGAGUGCAGUUGAGGCAGGCGGAAUUCGUGGUGUAGCGGUGAAAUGCUUAGAUAUCACGAAGAACUCCGAUUGCGAAGGCAGCCUGCUAAGCUGCAACUGACAUUGAGGCUCGAAAGUGUGGGUAUCAAACAGGAUUAGAUACCCUGGUAGUCCACACGGUAAACGAUGAAUACUCGCUGUUUGCGAUAUACAGCAAGCGGCCAAGCGAAAGCGUUAAGUAUUCCACCUGGGGAGUACGCCGGCAACGGUGAAACUCAAAGGAAUUGACGGGGGCCCGCACAAGCGGAGGAACAUGUGGUUUAAUUCGAUGAUACGCGAGGAACCUUACCCGGGCUUAAAUUGCAGAUGAAUUACGGUGAAAGCCGUAAGCCGCAAGGCAUCUGUGAAGGUGCUGCAUGGUUGUCGUCAGCUCGUGCCGUGAGGUGUCGGCUUAAGUGCCAUAACGAGCGCAACCCUUGUUGUCAGUUACUAACAGGUUCCGCUGAGGACUCUGACAAGACUGCCAUCGUAAGAUGUGAGGAAGGUGGGGAUGACGUCAAAUCAGCACGGCCCUUACGUCCGGGGCUACACACGUGUUACAAUGGGGGGUACAGAGGGCCGCUACCACGCGAGUGGAUGCCAAUCCCCAAAACCUCUCUCAGUUCGGACUGGAGUCUGCAACCCGACUCCACGAAGCUGGAUUCGCUAGUAAUCGCGCAUCAGCCACGGCGCGGUGAAUACGUUCCCGGGCCUUGUACACACCGCCCGUCAAGCCAUGGGAGUCGGGGGUACCUGAAGUGCGUAACCGCGAGGAGCGCCCUAGGGUAAAACUGGUGACUGGGGC
rnacentral:rRNA from 1 species